rnacentral:rRNA from 1 species
GACGAACGCUGGCGGCGUGCCUAAUACAUGCAAGUAGAACGCACAGUUUAUACCGUAGCUUGCUACACCAUAGACUGUGAGUUGCGAACGGGUGAGUAACGCGUAGGUAACCUGCCUGGUAGCGGGGGAUAACUAUUGGAAACGAUAGCUAAUAUCGCAUAAUAUUAAUUAUUGCAUGAUAAUUAAUUGAAAGGUGCAAUUGCACCACUACCAGAUGGACCUGCGUUGUAUUAGCUAGUAGGGGAGGUAACGGCUCACCUAGGGGACGAUACAUAGCCGACCUGAGAGGGUGAUCUGCCACACUGGGACUGGGACACGGCCCAGACUCCUACGGGAGGCAGCAGUAGGGAAUCUUCGGCAAUGGCCGAAAGUCUGACCGAGCAACGCCGCGUGAGUGAAGAAGGUUUUCGGGUCGUAAAGCUCUGUUGUAAGUGAAGAACGGGUGUGAGAGUUAAAAGUUCACACUGUGACGGUAUCUUACCAGAAAGCGACGGCUAACUACGUG